rnacentral:rRNA from 1 species
CCUACGGGGUGCAGCAGUGAGGAAUAUUGGUCAAUGGACGAGAGUCUGAACCAGCCAAGUAGCGUGAAGGAUGACUGCCCUAUGGGUUGUAAACUUCUUUUAUAAAGGAAUAAAACGAGGCACGUGUGCCUUUUUGCAUGUACUUUAUGAAUAAGGAUCGGCUAACUCCGUGCCAGCAGCCGCGGUAAUACGGAGGAUCCGAGCGUUAUCCGGAUUUAUUGGGUUUAAAGGGAGCGUAGAUGGGUUGUUAAGUCAGUUGUGAAAGUUUGCGGCUCAACCGUAAAAUUGCAAUUGAUAAUGGCAGUCGUGAGUACAGUUGAGGUAGGCGGAAUUCGUGGUGUAGCGGUGAAAUGCUUAGAUAUCACGAAGAACCCCGAUUGCGAAGGCAGCUUACUAAACUGUGACUGACAUUGAUGCUCGAAAGUGUGGGUAUCAAACAGGAUUAGAUACCCUAGUAGUC